rnacentral:tRNA from 1 species
GCAGCCGUAGCUCAGUUGGUUAGAGCACCAGAUUGUGGAUCUGGGGGUCGGCGGUUCGAAUCCACCCGGCUGUACCA